AAGAUCCUGUUUUCUGGGUGUGGCUUGAAAUAUUUUUCACCCCUAAGAGAUAACAGUUCUAAAAAAAACACAUUAUCUCCUCAUUUAUUUCUCGGCUCCAUAUCCUAAAAGGUAGCACAGAAGCUGCUGCUGUGGACCUUUUGAGGCUGGACACCUCAAGAGGUACCAAUACUGCGUUUUUAACCCCUGAAAGUUACGUCUAGCACCCCCGCCCCCUGGGGUUAAGUCUGUGAAGGGAUUAUUGGGCAAACAAUUGAUUCUUUGGAAUGACGGGAUAUUUGGAUUGAGGAUGAAUGUGGGUUCUUUAAUUUGGGGGAAGUUUUUUUCACAAGUAAAUGUUGGACCCUUGUGCCAAAAACAUAGUAUAGCUACCUAAAGUAACCAAAAUUUCCUUCAAAAUAUGCUCAAAUCAUUUCCCAAGAAAUUGAAACAUGAUCUUCACGUACAAAGUAACCUUUUUCUUUUCAAAAAGAAUACAAAAUGGCUAAUUCCAUCUAUGAGCAUUGACUUAAUCCAUCAAGUCCUGACAAAUCUAUGAAGGUUUCAAAUAUGGGAAAGGAGAUCUGGGACUUACGUUAUUGUAGCUGUGAAAAGACCAGCCUGCUAGUCAAUGAGGCGAUGGCCUUGAAAACUUAAAUUUAUCUUGCUCUCGUUAUUUUGCUUUUUGUCAGGAAGACAUGAUCAAUUUGUGUGGACGGUCAGCUGUAAUAUUAACAGUAAGACAGCCAAAUAUUGCAUGACACUUUCGAUAGACAGGCAGAGGGUAUCUCCAUUCGAUCCGAUUUCCAUCCCGUAAUCAGCAGUUUAAAAAUUCUAUAGCUUUACCAUUAUAAUUUAGGGAAAGUCAAUUUAUGGGAAAAUGACAAAGACAGUCACAAGAAUCAGAAGAAGUCUAUUGUGCCUGUUUUCAGGUAACAUUGAAUUGUUCCAUGCAUUACUAAAAGUAGUAAUCUUGAGUUUUCUGUCUUUGACAUUUGAAAGACCGCAUUCAGCGAACUUUAAUUUUAUGACUGGCUUCGCAUAAAUAUUCCGUUAAUAACUUGAAGAUAAACUAAGCUGCCAGUCUUGAAUGGAGGUCAAAAUCUGUCCAAACAAUGAUGUGAUGUCAACAUCCGGUCGAGUAUCCCAUCGUACACUAACAGCGCAAUCUAAGAUCACGUGUCCAGAAGCAUGAUGUUUUCGAAAGUAUGGCGGGGUAGUUCCUUGCAAGAUAGAAAACAAAGAAGCACCAAAUUAGCCUACCUGCCAGGACUUAUAUGGAAAAAAUUCACUUUGAGACAUUUAGAUCCCAUAUGAGAUACAAAACAGAGAAGCAACAAUGAAAGUAUGUGCUGAGACUUGAGAGGAGAAAGAAUCAUGUUGAAACACUGGAUUCUAUAAUAAAUACAAACCAGAAAGCUGUGUGCUGAGAAUCAUGUGGAGAAAGACUCAUAUUAAGGCAGUAGAUUCCAUAUCAGUUUCUUACUAGAUACAAAACAAAGAAGCAAGGAAAAGAGCUAUGUGCUGAGACUC